rnacentral:hammerhead_ribozyme from 1 species
GCACUCUUGAGGAGUCUCAUAAUAGGACGAAACGGCCGUCCAGUGC